rnacentral:misc_RNA from 1 species
GACGAACCGGAAGAACGUUAUUCGGAAUUACUGGGCUUAAAGAGUACGUAGGCGGCCAGGUAGGUCAGGUGUGAAAUCCGUCGGCUCAACCGAGGAAUUGCGCUUGAAACCACUUGGCUUGAGGGAGAUAGAGGUUAGCGGAACUGAUGGUGGGGCGGUGAAAUGUGUUGAUAUCAUCAGGAACACCAGUGGCGAAGGCGGCUAACUGGGUCUCUUCUGACGCUGAGGUACGAAAGCUAGGGGAGCGAACGGG